rnacentral:rRNA from 1 species
CGCCGCGUGAGGGAUGAAGGCCUCUGGGCUGUAAACCUCUUUUAUCAAGGAAGAAGAUCUGACGGUACUUGAUGAAUAAGCCACGGCUAAUUCCGUGCCAGCAGCCGCGGUAAUACGGGAGUGGCAAGCGUUAUCCGGAAUUAUUGGGCGUAAAGCGUCCGCAGGCGGUCUUGAAAGUCUGUUGUUAAAGCGUGGAGCUCAACUCCAUUUCAGCAAUGGAAACUAGAAGACUAGAGUGUGGUAGGGGCAGAGGGAAUUCCCGGUGUAGCGGUGAAAUGCGUAGAUAUCGGGAAGAACACCAGUGGCGAAGGCGCUCUGCUGGGCCAUAACUGACGCUCAUGGACGAAAGCCAGGGGAGCGAAAGGGAUUAGAUACCCCUGUAGUCCUGGCCGUAAACGAUGAACACUAGGUGUCGGGGGAAUCGACCCCCUCGGUGUCGUAGCCAACGCGUUAAGUGUUCCGCCUGGGGAGUACGCACGCAAGUGUG